rnacentral:rRNA from 1 species
AUUGAACGCUGGCGGCAGGCUUAACACAUGCAAGUCGAACGAGCGGCGGACGGGUGAGUAAUGUAUGGGGACUGCCCGAUAGAGGGGGAUAACUACUGGAAACGGUGGCUAAUACCGCAUACUAUCGGAUAACCCAUAUGGGAUUAGCUAGUAGGUGGGGUAAAGGCUCACCUAGGCGACGAUCUCUAGCUGGUCUGAGAGGAUGAUCAGCCAAACUGGGACUUAGACACGGCCCCGACUCCUACGGAGGCAGGAGUUGGGAAUAUUGCAACAUGGGGGCAAGCCUGAUACAGCCAGUCCGCGUGUAAGAAGGAGGCCUUAAGGUUGUAAAGUACUUUCAACGGGGAGGCGUUACCCGCAGAAGAAGCACCGGCUAACUCCGUGCCAGCAGCCGCGGUAAUAC